UUCAGAUUCCCUGGGAGGAUGUUGUGCUGAUCUUCAUGGACCACAAACUGAAAGACUGGCAGCCGCCCGGACCUCCUGCCUGUGGAGACACAGUGACCGAGGACGGCGAGAUCCUGGUUUACUUCCCCACAGCUUCUCUGGAGGGUUUCAGACCUCCUGAAGAGUGGACGCAGGCCGUGGAAAAAACCCACAGAGAGAAGCAGCAGCAGCAGGAGAGGGACGGAGCGACUCAGGCUCCCUGCGCGCCGCCUCCG